GAUCGGUAGCCGGCCUGAGAGGGCACACGGCCACACUGGCACUGAAACACGGGCCAGACUCCUACGGGAGGCAGCAGUGGGGAAUCUUGCACAAUGGGGGAAACCCUGAUGCAGCGACGCCGCGUGAGUGAUGAAGCCCUUCGGGGUGUAAAGCUCUUUCGGCAGGGACGAUAAUGACGGUACCUGCAGAAGAAGCUGCGGCUAACUACGUGCCAGCAGCCGCGGUAAUACGUAGGCAGCAAGCGUUGUUCGGAAUUACUGGGCGUAAAGAGUGCGUAGGCGGUUUGGCAAGUUUGGUGUGAAAUCUCCCGGCUUAACUGGGAGGGUGCGCCGAAAACUGCCAGGCUAGAGUGUGGGAGAGGAAAGUGGAAUUCCUGGUGUAGCGGUGAAAUGCGUAGAUAUCAGGAGGAACACCUGCGGUGUAGACGGCUUUCUGGACCACUACUGACGCUGAGGCACGAAAGCGUGGGGAGCAAACAGGAUUAGAUACCCUGGUAGUCCACGCCCUAAACGAUGCAGACUUGGUGUUGGCCCUUCAUUGGGUCAGUGCCGCAGCUAACGCGGUAAGUCUGCCGACUGGGGAGUACGGUCGCAAGGCUG
rnacentral:rRNA from 1 species